rnacentral:rRNA from 1 species
AGCGAACGCUGGCGGCAGGCCUAACACAUGCAAGUCGAACGAACUCUUCGGAGUUAGUGGCGGACGGGUGAGUAACACGUGGGAACGUGCCUUUAGGUUCGGAAUAACUCAGGGAAACUUGUGCUAAUACCGCAUGUGCCCUUCGGGGGAAAGAUUUAUCGCCUUUAGAGCGGCCCGCGUCUGAUUAGCUAGUUGGUGAGGUAAAGGCUCACCAAGGCGACGAUCAGUAGCUGGUCUGAGAGGAUGAUCAGCCACAUUGGGACUGAGACACGGCCCAAACUCCUACGGGAGGCAGCAGUGGGGAAUCUUGCGCAAUGGGCGAAAGCCUGACGCAGCCAUGCCGCGUGAAUGAUGAAGGUCUUAGGAUUGUAAAAUUCUUUCGCCGGGGACGAUAAUGACGGUACCCGGAGAAGAAGCCCCGGCUAACUUCGUG